UACCAGCACCCCGAGUGGUCGGGACGUUAUUGGGCCUAAAACAUCCGUAGCCGGCCUUACAAGUCCUCCGUUAAAUCCAGCUGCUUUAAACAGAUGGGCUGCGGAGGAUACUAUAAGACUAGGAGGCAGGAGAGGCAAGCGGUACUCAGUGGGUAGGGUAAAAUCCGUUGAAUCCAUUGAAGACCACCAGUGGCGAAGGCGGCUUGCCAGAAUGCGCUCGACGGUGAGGGAUGAAAGCUGGGGAGCAAACCGG
rnacentral:rRNA from 1 species